GAGCGUUGGACGUAUUCGAUCUCGUAGGAACCGUGCUUUGCAAGCAGCAGGUCACCGGUUCGAGCCCGGUACGCUCCA
rnacentral:tRNA from 1 species